GUGGGGAAUCUUGCGCAAUGGGCGAAAGCCUGACGCAGCCAUGCCGCGUGAAUGAUGAAGGUCUUAGGAUUGUAAAAUUCUUUCACCGGGGACGAUAAUGACGGUACCCGGAGAAGAAGCCCCGGCUAACUUCGUGCCAGCAGCCGCGGUAAUACGAAGGGGGCUAGCGUUGCUCGGAAUUACUGGGCGUAAAGGGCGCGUAGGCGGACAGUUUAGUCAGAGGUGAAAGCCCAGGGCUCAACCUUGGAAUUGCCUAUGAUACUGGCUGUCUUGAGUACGGGAGAGGUGAGUGGAACUCCGAGUGUAGAGGUGAAAUUCGUAGAUAUUCGGAAGAACACCAGUGGCGAAGGCGACUCACUGGCCCGUUACUGACGCUGAGGCGCGAAAGCGUGGGGAGCAAACAGGAUUAGAAACCCGAGUAGUCC
rnacentral:rRNA from 1 species